rnacentral:rRNA from 1 species
CACAGGCGUUGCAUGGCUGUCGUCAGCCCGUGGUGCCAAGCCGUCCAGUUUUCUGGGCACGGGCAUCUCCCCAGUUCAGUAGAAGUUUAUUAAAGAUUUUAAUUAUUUUAAAAAAUUUUUAAUUAAAUUUAAUAAUAACUCUACGAAACAUCUAGUUACUAAUAUUAAAAAAGGAAAAAAUAAAAAAUUUAAAAAAGUAAUUAGAAGGAGGCUGGGAUCACGUCAAGUCUUCAUGGCCCAUAUGGAGUGGGCUACACGUGUGUGACAAGGGUCGUGUCAGCACUUUUUUUACAAAAACAAAAAAAACACGGUCAUAGUACGGAUGGUUGCUUGCAACUCGGCAACCUGAAGCAGGAAUCGCCAGUAAUCGCGGAUUAGCUCGCUGCGGUGAAAAUUAGAAGCUUACCCGGGGCAUUCACCGCCCGUCACGUUCGGAAAGUUUUGUGCAUUGGAAAUUUUAAAAAGUUUUUAGAGCUUUUUUUAUACCAAAAAAGUUUUUUCUUUUUUUUAAAAAAGCCUAAUAAAUUUUUAAAAUGAAAGUGUGGAUCGCAAUCGGAAUGAAGUCGUAACAAGGUUGCUGUACGGGAACGUGCAGCAG